GAAUAGCCCUUCCUUCCUCUUCUUGUUGGUAAUUGUACCAUGUGAUCAUAGGGCCUUUAGCCGGAUGGGAUCUAGUCGUCACAAAAUAUCAAUUUAGUUUAUAGAAGCGCUGUUGAAUUCUGUGAUAAUGAUAUCGCACACUGUCUGAAAAGGUGAGCGGUUACAACCAGCAGUGUCAUGGAAGAAGAUCCAUCUGUUUACCGACUGGAAGGCAGUGACCCGUCUCAACAGUUAGGAGGUUUGGAGUUUAAAUCUAAGAGCUCUGGCACUGGACAGCAUGUUUUUAAAGCUCCCGCUCCACGGUCCUCUCUGUUGGGCUUGGACUUGCUUGCUGCAAAGAAAAGGAAAGAAAAAGAGGAAAGGGAACAACAAGAAAGUGACAAGAAGCCAAAAAUCUCUUUUAAGGACUGGGAGGAGAAAGAGGGAAGCAGCGAAAAGCUUAGUAGAGGAAACCAUGGAGAUCGACAUUACAGAAAAGCACGUGUUGAAACACCAUCAUACACUGGUGGAGUAAACGAGGAGUUCUUGGCUCGCAGCAGACAGAGAGAACGAGAGAAGAGAGAGCAUGGGGUAUAUGCAUCAUCCAAAGAUGAACGGCAGCGCAGGAAAGAGCGAAGCAGAGAGCGAGAGGAAUAUAGUCAUCGCAGGCGGUCAGACCGCGAAAGUGGCUCCGAAAGAAGUUUAAGGCGUGGUGAGCCAGAGAGCCCAAGACAUAAGCCCAGAGAUGCCCCAACUCCCUCUCGCUCUGGAUGGGAGGAAGAUGACAGUGGCUACUCUGGGUCUCUGAGAUCUCAUUGGGAAUCCCCUUCUCCCUCACCUUCAACUAGAGACUAUGAUCGAAUUUACAGGGGUGAGAAUGACAGUUCAAGGAGGGAACGAUCAGUGAAAGAUCGUUAUACUGAUGAUUCACCGCUCCCCACACCGUCAUAUAAAUUAAAUGACUGGGCAUCUGAUAGACGUCAUCUGGAUUCCAAUCUGCGUCUGUCUGAAGGGAAAGGAAAGCAGGCAGGAGAAGAGGACUGGAUCAACUUCAUGUCAGAGGAGGAUAAGCAACAGUGGGAGGACGAUCAGAGGCAAGCUGACCGGGACUGGUAUAUGAUGGAUGAAGGAUUUGAUGAGUCUCAUAAUGCACUGAGUUCAACUUCUAUGGAAUAUGUGAAGAAACGUGAACAACAGCUACAGAAACAGACCCACAAGAGGGUGUCUGCUCAGAGAAGACAGAUCAAUGAGGAUAACGAGCGAUGGGAGACUAACCGCAUGUUGACUAGUGGAGUAGUUCAGCGGCUAGAAGUUGAUGAGGACUUUGAGGAGGACAAUACAGCCAAAGUGCAUCUUUUGGUUCAUAACUUGGUGCCCCCCUUCCUAGAUGGACGUAUUGUGUUUACAAAGCAGCCAGAACCUGUAAUUCCAGUUCGAGAUGCCACAUCAGAUAUGGCAAUCAUCUCUCGAAAAGGCAGCCAGCUUGUGCGCAAGCACCGUGAGCAGAAAGAGCGUAAAAAGGCCCAGCACAAACAUUGGGAAUUAGCAGGGACUAAGCUUGGAGACAUCAUGGGUGUGAAGAAGCAAGAAGAGGAACCUGACAAGAUGAGCACAGAAGGAGGAGGAGUAGAUUAUAGGGCGGAACAGAAGUUUGCAGAUCAUGUGCGUGAACGUAGUGAGGCAAGCAGUGACUUCUCCCGUAAGAAGAGUUUGAUGGAACAGCGUCAGUUUCUGCCCAUAUUUGCAGUACAGCAGGAGCUACUCACAAUUAUCAGAGAUAACAGUAUUGUCAUUGUAGUUGGUGAAACGGGUAGUGGAAAAACUACACAGUUGACACAGUAUCUGCAUGAAGAUGGAUACACGGAUUAUGGUAUGAUUGCAUGCACACAGCCACGUAGGGUUGCUGCCAUGUCUGUUGCUAAGCGAGUUAGCGAAGAAAUGCAAGUGAGUCUAGGAGAAGAAGUUGGUUACGCUAUCCGUUUUGAAGACUGCACAUCAGAGAAAACUCUUAUCAAAUACAUGACUGAUGGGAUUCUGCUGCGAGAGUCUCUACGUGAAUCUGAUCUUGAUCACUACAGUGCAAUCAUCAUGGACGAGGCUCAUGAGCGCUCACUCAACACAGAUGUGCUUUUUGGUCUCUUACGAGAAGUUGUUACUCGGCGAUCUGAUCUCAAGCUGAUUGUCACUUCAGCCACCAUGGAUGCUGACAAAUUUGCAUCAUUCUUUGGUAAUGUCCCCAUUUUUUACAUUCCUGGACGUACAUUUCCCGUGGACAUCUUGUUUAGCAAGACCCCCCAGGAAGAUUAUGUGGAAGCUGCAGUAAAGCAAGCACUACAGAUCCACUUGUCUGGAGCUGCAGGUGACAUCUUGAUCUUUAUGCCUGGACAGGAGGACAUUGAGGUGACUUCAGAUCAGAUAGUUGAGCGAUUGGAAGAGUUAGACAGUGCUCCAGCUUUGGCUGUGUUACCCAUCUACUCCCAAUUACCAUCUGACUUGCAGGCAAAGAUUUUCCAGAAGGCUCCAGAUGGUGUGAGAAAAUGUAUUGUAGCUACAAACAUAGCUGAGACAUCUCUGACUGUAGAUGGUAUCAUGUUUGUAGUGGAUUCUGGGUAUUGUAAGUUAAAGGUGUUUAACCCCCGUAUUGGCAUGGAUGCUCUUCAGAUCUACCCCAUCAGUCAGGCCAAUGCCAACCAGCGCUCUGGGAGAGCAGGCAGAACAGGUCCUGGACAGUGCUUUAGGUUAUACACACAGAGUGCAUAUAAGAAUGAGAUGCUCUGCACCACUGUUCCUGAGAUUCAACGUACAAACCUCUCAAAUGUUGUUUUGCUUCUGAAGUCUUUGGGUGUUCAGGAUCUGCUUCUUUUCCACUUUAUGGACCCCCCACCUGAAGACAACAUGCUUAACUCAAUGUACCAGCUGUGGAUUCUGGGGGCCCUAGAUAACACAGGUUCACUUACCUCCACUGGUCGUCUCAUGGUGGAGUUUCCAUUGGAUCCUGCUCUCUCUAAGAUGCUGAUUGUAUCAUGUGACAUGGGAUGCAGCUCUGAGAUUCUUAUUGUUGUGUCUAUGUUAUCAGUCCCAGCUAUAUUCUACCGACCAAAGGGCCGUGAGGAAGAGAGUGAUCAAGUCAGAGAGAAAUUUGCUGUCCCGGAGAGCGACCAUUUGACUUUUCUGAAUGUUUUCCUGCAGUGGAAGAACAAUAACUACUCCAGUGGCUGGUGCAACCAACAUUUUAUCCAUGCUAAAGCCAUGCGCAAGGUGAGAGAAGUCCGAGCACAGUUAAAGGAUAUCAUGGUAUCUCAACGCAUGUCGCUUUCCUCCUGUGGAUCAGACUGGGAUAUUGUUAGAAAAUGUAUUUGUGCUGCAUAUUUCCACCAAGCUGCUAGGCUUAAGGGCAUUGGAGAGUAUGUGAAUGUACGCACUGGGAUGCCGUGUCACCUUCACCCAACUAGCUCCCUUUUUGGUAUGGGAUAUACACCUGAUUAUAUUGUGUAUCAUGAGCUAGUGAUGACCACCAAGGAAUACAUGCAGUGUGUCACUGCAGUGGAUGGGGAAUGGCUUGCAGAAUUGGGUCCAAUGUUCUACAGCGUAAAACAAGCUGGCAAAUCCAGACAGGAAAACAAACGACGUGCAAAGGAAGAAGUGUCUGCUAUGGAAGAGGAGAUGAUAAUAGCAGAGGAGCAGCUGCGAGCAAGAAGAGACGAACAGGAGAAAAAGAGCACAAUCUGCAGUUCACGGAUUAUUACCAGCACAAUUUUGCAAUUCCUACAUGGAUCACAUUAAGCAUUCUACCAGUUUUAUGCUGUUCUUGUCCUCCCUCUGUUUCAGCUAUACAAGAUCUAUGAAAAUUUAUACACCUGGACGGAAGGAUCAGGUAGAUCCUGGAACUCCACGUCGUACACCUGCUCGUUUUGGACUUUGAAAAAAUGUAUAUUACAACUCUUGUGAUCUGUACUUUUGAUACAUUUAUGAAUCAUUACAUGAACUGACUUCUGGAUGUUGUGUGUAAACUUGGGCCUUCUGCUCUUUUUGAUGUUGUAAAAUUAAAUGCCAUUUUUAUGCAGUAAUAAACAA